AACUGUGUGGCUCAGUCGGUUGGGCAUCUGACUUCGGCUCAGGUCAUGAUCUCACAGUUG
rnacentral:tRNA from 1 species